AGACGUCCCAAGGUAUGAGCUGUAGAUACGCACGUGAGCGCUGGUGGGAGACGCCAGGCUGGGAUUUCCGCUCGAUCUGGGAAUGAGCAAUGCAACCUAAUGACACCCAGAGCUCCUGAAUCACCCGAGGAAAAUGACGAGAGACUCCCUCCGGUGGGAACGUCUCCUAGAAACAAGGCCUAAGAUGGGGCGACAACAGCCCCACAGCUGUGUCCAGAUGCAGGGAGCACUCGCCUGUGCUGUGUGGAAUAUCCUGCUCCAAUCAAAGCCAUGUCACCUGCGUUGUCCAGUGAAACAUCAGUGGACAGGCGCUGCCCGGGCUCCAGGGAGCUCCUCACUGAGGCUCACUCCCUGUGCCUCUGCCAUCAGCACAGGGGGACAUGCCUGGCUGCCUGUGGGACCAGGGAGGACGCGCGGUGCGGGAGCAGAGCCAGCCACACUGCCGCUGCUGCACUGUUCAUCUGAGUGGCGCAAGGUUAUGUGUUUCAGCUGCGAGUUUUUCAAAUUGUUGCAAAUCUUCAAACAUUUUUCCAACAAAUUUACUGAAAAAAAUCCACAUAUAAGUGGCACCCCCACCAGUUUAAACCUGUGUUGUUCAAGAGUCAGCUAUUUUUAUGAGGUGUUUUCAAAAGUUUAUGGAAAAUGAAUCUUAUGAAUAAAACUAUGCAUGGAU
rnacentral:lncRNA from 1 species